AUGCAGCUGAUGAGUCUCAAAUAUGGCGAAACGCGCGUCUUGGAU
rnacentral:hammerhead_ribozyme from 1 species